AUUGAACGCUGGCGGCAGGCCUAACACAUGCAAGUCGAGCGGUAGCACAGAGAGCUUGCUCUCGGGUGACGAGCGGCGGACGGGUGAGUAAUGUCUGGGAAACUGCCUGAUGGAGGGGGAUAACUACUGGAAACGGUAGCUAAUACCGCAUAACGUCGCAAGACCAAAGUGGGGGACCUUCGGGCCUCAUGCCAUCAGAUGUGCCCAGAUGGGAUUAGCUAGUAGGUGGGGUAAUGGCUCACCUAGGCGACGAUCCCUAGCUGGUCUGAGAGGAUGACCAGCCACACUGGAACUGAGACACGGUCCAGACUCCUACGGGAGGCAGCAGUGGGGAAUAUUGCACAAUGGGCGCAAGCCUGAUGCAGCCAUGCCGCGUGUGUGAAGAAGGCCUUCGGGUUGUAAAGCACUUUCAGCGGGGAGGAAGGCGUUAAGGUUAAUAACCUUGGCGAUUGACGUUACCCGCAGAAGAAGCACCGGCUAACUCCGUGCCAGCAGCCGCGGUAAUACGGAGGGUGCAAGCGUUAAUCGGAAUUACUGGGCGUAAAGCGCACGCAGGCGGUCUGUCAAGUCGGAUGUGAAAUCCCCGGGCUCAACCUGGGAACUGCAUUCGAAACUGGCAGGCUAGAGUCUUGUAGAGGGGGGUAGAAUUCCAGGUGUAGCGGUGAAAUGCGUAGAGAUCUGGAGGAAUACCGGUGGCGAAGGCGGCCCCCUGGACAAAGACUGACGCUCAGGUGCGAAAGCGUGGGGAGCAAACAGGAUUAGAUACCCUGGUAGUCCACGCCGUAAACGAUGUCGAUUUGGAGGUUGUGCCCUUGAGGCGUGGCUUCCGGAGCUAACGCGUUAAAUCGACCGCCUGGGGAGUACGGCCGCAAGGUUAAAACUCAAAUGAAUUGACGGGGGCCCGCACAAGCGGUGGAGCAUGUGGUUUAAUUCGAUGCAACGCGAAGAACCUUACCUGGUCUUGACAUCCACAGAACUUUCCAGAGAUGGAUUGGUGCCUUCGGGAACUGUGAGACAGGUGCUGCAUGGCUGUCGUCAGCUCGUGUUGUGAAAUGUUGGGUUAAGUCCCGCAACGAGCGCAACCCUUAUCCUUUGUUGCCAGCGGUUAGGCCGGGAACUCAAAGGAGACUGCCAGUGAUAAACUGGAGGAAGGUGGGGAUGACGUCAAGUCAUCAUGGCCCUUACGACCAGGGCUACACACGUGCUACAAUGGCAUAUACAAAGAGAAGCGACCUCGCGAGAGCAAGCGGACCUCAUAAAGUAUGUCGUAGUCCGGAUUGGAGUCUGCAACUCGACUCCAUGAGGUCGGAAUCGCUAGUAAUCGUAGAUCAGAAUGCUACGGUGAAUACGUUCCCGGGCCU
rnacentral:rRNA from 1 species